CAGGCCUAACACAUGCAAGUCGAACGAAGGCUUCGGCCUUAGUGGCGCACGGGUGCGUAACGCGUGGGAAUCUGCCCUUGGGUUCGGAAUAACAGUUAGAAAUGACUGCUAAUACCGGAUGAUGACGUAAGUCCAAAGAUUUAUCGCCCAGGGAUGAGCCCGCGUAGGAUUAGCUAGUUGGUGGGGUAAAGGCCUACCAAGGCGACGAUCCUUAGCUGGUCUGAGAGGAUGAUCAGCCACACUGGGACUGAGACACGGCCCAGACUCCUACGGGAGGCAGCAGUGGGGAAUAUUGGACAAUGGGCGAAAGCCUGAUCCAGCAAUGCCGCGUGAGUGAUGAAGGCCUUAGGGUUGUAAAGCUCUUUUACCCGGGAUGAUAAUGACAGUACCGGGAGAAUAAGCUCCGGCUAACUCCGUGCCAGCAGCCGCGGUAAU
rnacentral:rRNA from 1 species